rnacentral:rRNA from 1 species
GACGAACGCUGGCGGCGUGCCUAAUACAUGCAAGUCGAGCGGACGAACUUUUGGUGCUUGCACCGAAUUUUCGUUAGCGGCGGACGGGUGAGUAACACGUGGGCAACCUGCCCUGUAGAUUGGGAUAACUCCGGGAAACCGGGGCUAAUACCGAAUAAUACUUUUUAACUCAUGUUAGAAAGUUGAAAGAUGGUUUACGCUAUCACUACAGGAUGGGCCCGCGGCGCAUUAGCUAGUUGGUGAGGUAACGGCUCACCAAGGCGACGAUGCGUAGCCGACCUGAGAGGGUGAUCGGCCACACUGGGACUGAGACACGGCCCAGACUCCUACGGGAGGCAGCAGUAGGGAAUCUUCCACAAUGGGCGAAAGCCUGAUGGAGCAACGCCGCGUGAGUGAAGAAGGAUUUCGGUUCGUAAAACUCUGUUGUAAGGGAAGAACAAGUAGCGUAGUAACUGGCGCUACCUUGACGGUACCUUAUUAGAAAGCCACGGCUAACUACGUGCCAGCCGCCGCCGUAAAAC